GAUGAACGCUGGCGGCGUGCCUAAUACAUGCAAGUCGAACGGUAAGGCCCUUUCGGGGGUACACGAGUGGCGAACGGGUGAGUAACACGUGAGUAACCUGCCCUCAUCUCUGGGAUAACAGUCGGAAACGGUUGCUAAUACUGGAUAUGAGCUUGCAAGGCAUCUUGUGGGUUGGAAAGAUUUUUUUGGUUGGGGAUGGACUCGCGGCCUAUCAGCUUGUUGGUGAGGUAGUGGCUCACCAAGGCUUCGACGGGUAGCCGGCCUGAGAGGGCGACCGGCCACAUUGGGCGUGAGAGACGGCCAACACGCGUAGGGGGGGCAGCAGGGGGGAAUUUGGAAAAAGGGAGGGAAGGCAGAGGCAGAAACGCGCGGGGGGGGAGGACGGCCUUGGGUUUGAAAACGGCUUUAAAUUGUGAAGAAGCUUUUGGGGAGGGUAGAAGAAGAAGAAGCACCGGCAAACAACGUG
rnacentral:rRNA from 1 species